AUGCAGCCGGGGCAACCUCCAUCUGAAUAUCCAUCCUCUGCUGACUCAAGGAUGCUUUUUUAACAAGGUUAAAAGCACCAGGAGGCCCUCAUACUUAGGACUCAGAAUGUAGCAUCCACUGAGAUUGGGGCAGACCAACAACCUCAGUUCACAUGAUCCUUGAGGCCUGUGUUCAUGGGAUUCUCUCCUCUUGCUCUAGACCCCAUCACAAGCCAAAUCCAUUCUAUGAGAAACUGAAGUUGGAACACAAACAGGUCAUGUGGGAACUAAAGAUCUUUGAGAAUGAGAACACCUCAGAAAAGUUCAGUGAGCUGACCAAGGACACAGUCUUCUAUCGUCUGCACAGCCAGCUCCUGAUGGAACAGACUCAUCUGCACAAGAAGGUGGACCUGCUGAAGCAGGAGAAAAAGAAACUGCAGGAGGACUUGGUUCUUCUCAAACACCACUUGAAAGAUUUGAAUGUGAUCUGUAAGGACCAAGAGGAAGAGACCAGUAACCUCAAAACCCAGCAACAACAGGUAGGGUGCAGAUCCACACAACUGCAGCCUGAGCUGGAACAGGACACAGCCCAGCAUGAGAGCCACCUGCAGAAGGAGCUACUACAGCAAGAGCCACCUGCUGAGCCCCAUCCCCAGCAAAUAACUGAUUCCUGAGGAUGCAUUUUCUUCUUCAGAUUUGGUGUUCAUUGUGGAUUGCUGCUAUGGAGCCAUCAUCCCAGUCAACACCAUUCACCAAGAAACAAGUGAAGAAGGAAAUAGAGAGGAUGACCACAGAGCUGCAGCUGAUGACCAGCCAAAGGAAUGAGCUGCGAGAUCGCCUAGUCUCCAUCAGUGAAGGAACUGUGGAUAAUAGGUAUCUAUUGUUUCAGACUCCAGGGAACUGUUCACACUAUCAUCCUCACCCCCUUUUUUUAAGG
rnacentral:lncRNA from 1 species